AGAUUGAACGCUGGCGGCAGGCCUAACACAUGCAAGUCGAGCGGUAGCACAGAGAGCUUGCUCUCGGGUGACGAGCGGCGGACGGGUGAGUAAUGUCUGGGAAACUGCCUGAUGGAGGGGGAUAACUACUGGAAACGGUAGCUAAUACCGCAUAACGUCGCAAGACCAAAGUGGGGGACCUUCGGGCCUCAUGCCAUCAGAUGUGCCCAGAUGGGAUUAGCUAGUAGGUGGGGUAACGGCUCACCUAGGCGACGAUCCCUAGCUGGUCUGAGAGGAUGACCAGCCACACUGGAACUGAGACACGGUCCAGACUCCUACGGGAGGCAGCAGUGGGGAAUAUUGCACAAUGGGCGCAAGCCUGAUGCAGCCAUGCCGCGUGUAUGAAGAAGGCCUUCGGGUUGUAAAGUACUUUCAGCGGGGAGGAAGGCGAUAAGGUUAAUAACCUUGUCGAUUGACGUUACCCGCAGAAGAAGCACCGGCUAACUCCGUGCCAGCAGCCGCGGUAAUACGGAGGGUGCAAGCGUUAAUCGGAAUUACUGGGCGUAAAGCGCACGCAGGCGGUCUGUCAAGUCGGAUGUGAAAUCCCCGGGCUCAACCUGGGAACUGCAUUCGAAACUGGCAGGCUAGAGUCUUGUAGAGGGGGGUAGAAUUCCAGGUGUAGCGGUGAAAUGCGUAGAGAUCUGGAGGAAUACCGGUGGCGAAGGCGGCCCCCUGGACAAAGACUGACGCUCAGGUGCGAAAGCGUGGGGAGCAAACAGGAUUAGAUACCCUGGUAGUCCACGCCGUAAACGAUGUCGAUUUGGAGGUUGUGCCCUUGAGGCGUGGCUUCCGGAGCUAACGCGUUAAAUCGACCGCCUGGGGAGUACGGCCGCAAGGUUAAAACUCAAAUGAAUUGACGGGGGCCCGCACAAGCGGUGGAGCAUGUGGUUUAAUUCGAUGCAACGCGAAGAACCUUACCUGGUCUUGACAUCCACAGAACUUAGCAGAGAUGCUUUGGUGCCUUCGGGAACUGUGAGACAGGUGCUGCAUGGCUGUCGUCAGCUCGUGUUGUGAAAUGUUGGGUUAAGUCCCGCAACGAGCGCAACCCUUAUCCUUUGUUGCCAGCGGUUAGGCCGGGAACUCAAAGGAGACUGCCAGUGAUAAACUGGAGGAAGGUGGGGAUGACGUCAAGUCAUCAUGGCCCUUACGACCAGGGCUACACACGUGCUACAAUGGCAUAUACAAAGAGAAGCGACCUCGCGAGAGCAAGCGGACCUCAUAAAGUAUGUCGUAGUCCGGAUUGGAGUCUGCAACUCGACUCCAUGAAGUCGGAAUCGCUAGUAAUCGUAGAUCAGAAUGAUACGGUGAAUACGUUCCCGGGCCUUGUACACACCGCCCGUCACACCAUGGGAGUGGGUUGCAAAAGAAGUAGGUAGCUUAACCUUCGGGAGGGCGCUUACCAC
rnacentral:rRNA from 1 species